ensembl:misc_RNA Metazoa_SRP Metazoan signal recognition particle RNA
GCCAGGCACGGUGGCGCCUGCCUGUAGUUCCAGCUACUCGGGAGGCUGAGGUGGGAGGAUCACUUGAGCCCAGGAGUUCUGGGCUGUAGUGCGCUAUGCCAAUCAGGUGUCAGCACUAAGUUCGGCAACAAUACGGUGACCUCCCGGGCGCGGGGGACCAUCAGGUUGCCUAAGGACGGGUGAACCCGCCCAGGUCGGAAAUGGAGCAGGUCAAAACUCCGUGCUGAUCAGUAGUGGGAUUGUGCCUAUGAAUAGCCACUGCACUCCAGCCUGGGCAACAUAGCAAGACCCUGUCUCUU